rnacentral:tRNA from 1 species
AAGGUUCUAGUAUAAUUGGUAAUACACUGCUUUGUCAAGGCAGUAUUGUGGGUUGAACCCCCACGUACCUUA